rnacentral:rRNA from 1 species
CUACGGGUUGCAGCAGUGGGGAAUAUUGCGCAAUGGGCGAAAGCCUGACGCAGCAACGCCGCGUGCGGGAUGACGGCCUUCGGGUUGUAAACCGCUUUCAGCAGGGAAGAAGCGAAAGUGACGGUACCUGCAGAAGAAGCACCGGCUAACUACGUGCCAGCAGCCGCGGUAAUACGUAGGGUGCAAGCGUUGUGCCGGAUUUAUUGGGCGUAAAGAGCUCGUAGGCGGUUAGUCACGUCGGAGGUGAAAACCCAGUGCUUAACACUGGGCCUGCAUUCGAUACGGGCUGACUAGAGUGUUGUAGGGGAGACUGGAACUCCUGGUGUAGCGGUGAAAUGCGCAGAUAUCAGGAAGAACACCGGUGGCGAAGGCGGGUCUCUGGGCAACUACUGACGCUGAGGAGCGAAAGCGUGGGGAGCAAACAGGAUUAGAUACCCCAGUAGUC